AUUGAACGCUGGCGGCAUGCCUUACACAUGCAAGUCGAACGGUAACAGGUCUUCGGGUGCUGACGAGUGGCGAACGGGUGAGUAAUACAUCGGAACGUGCCUAGUAGUGGGGGAUAACUACUCGAAAGAGUGGCUAAUACCGCAUGAGAUCUACGGAUGAAAGCAGGGGAUCGCAAGACCUUGUGCUACUAGAGCGGCCGAUGGCAGAUUAGGUAGUUGGUGGGAUAAAAGCUUACCAAGCCGACGAUCUGUAGCUGGUCUGAGAGGACGAUCAGCCACACUGGGACUGAGACACGGCCCAGACUCCUACGGGAGGCAGCAGUGGGGAAGUUUGGACAAUGGGCGCAAGCCUGAUCCAGCAAUGCCGCGUGCAGGAUGAAGGCCUUCGGGUUGUAAACUGCUUUUGUACGGAACGAAAAGCCCUGGGUUAAUACCCUGGGGUCAUGACGGUACCGUAAGAAUAAGCACCGGCUAACUACGUGCCAGCCGCCGCCGUAAUAC
rnacentral:rRNA from 1 species